rnacentral:rRNA from 1 species
GGUUAAGCUGGUAAGAGCACACGGAGGAUGCCUAGGCGCUAGGAGCCGAAGAAGGACGUGGCGAACAACGAUAUGCCCCCGGGGAGUCGUAAGCAGACUUUGAUCCGGGGAUGUCCGAAUGGGGGAACCCGGCUGCGGUUAUGCCAGUCACUCACUUCUGAAUCCAUAGGAAGUGAAGAGGCAGACCAGGGGAACUGAAACAUCUAAGUACCCUGAGGAGAAGAAAACAAUCGUGAUUCCGUCAGUAGCGGCGAGCGAAAGCGGAGGAGCCCAAACGAGCUUGCUCACUGGGUUAUUAAGGACACCUUAUACGGAGUUACAAAGGAGCAGAUUAGGCGAAGAGGUCUGGAAAGACACCACAGAAGGUAACAGCCCUGUAGCUGAAAGUCUCGCUCUCUCUCCAAGGUGGAUCCGAGUACGGCGGGACACAGGAAACCCCGUCGGAAUCCGGCAGGACCAUCUGCAAAGGCUCCAUCUCCCUAGCGACCGAUAGUGAAGCAGUACCGUGAGGGAAAGGUGAAAAGCACGGGAAUUGAAAAAGACCUGAAACCAUUGUGCUUACAAGAAGUCAGAGCCCUAUGAUUUUCUUCGGAAAUCAGGGUGAUGGCGUGCCUUUUUGUAGAAUGAACCGGCGAGUUACGCUUGCAUACGGAGUUAAGGUCAAGCCGGAGCCGCAGCGAAAGCGAGUCUGAACAGGGCAAAGCAUAAACACGGUAACAAUACUUUGUAUUGCUUAAAAUGUCAGGCGUAGACCAAGCUUAAUGAUCUACCCCUGUCAAAUUGAAGGUGAGUAACACUCUCACUGGAGGCCCGAACCCACGAAUGUUGAAAAAUUCGGGGAUGAGGUGGGAAUUGCCAGGCCAAUCGAACUCGGAGAUGGCGGGUUCUCCUCAGAAAUAGCUUUAGGGCUAGCCUCGGGUUAGAGUAAUUAAGGGUAAAGCACUGAUUGGGUGCGGGGCCCGCCAAGGGGUUACCGUCUAGUCAAACUCUGAAUGCCAUCCACUCGGUGCCAGGGUCAGACAGUGAGUGCUAAGAUCCAUUGUCAGAGAGCAGCCCAGAUCAUCAGCUGGGUCCCCAAGUGUGUGUUAAGUGGGAAAGGAUGGAGUUGCACAGGUAACCACGGAUGUUGGCUUAGAAGCAGCCACCAUUUAAAGAGUGCGUAAUAGCUCUGCUGGUCAGUGACUCUGCGCCGAAAAUGUAACGGGGCUAAAUACACCACCGAAGCUAUGGGUCCUAAUUAAGAGACGUGGGGAGCGUUCCAAGCAAUAGAGGUUGACCGACAAUGCCGGACGGCUGGAGCGCUUGUUGCUUAAGGAAUGCCGGUAUGAGCGAAAAGAUCGGUGAGAAUCUGAUCACGCCGAGCCUAAGGGUUCCUGAGGAAGGUUCGUCCGCUCAGGGUAAGUCGGACCCUAAGGCGAGGCCGAAAGGCGUAGUCGAAGGACAACCCAGGCAAAUUCCUGUACCACCAAACACCGCUAUGAGCGAUGGGGUGACACAGUAGGGUAGGGACUCGCUGAUGGAAGUGCUUGUCCAAGCAGUGGAGCUGGUGGCAAAUCCGCACACUGAAAGCCGAAUUUCUCUUGACGGGGAGCGAAAAUAGCAGUAGCGAAGGUCUUGAUCUCACACUGUCAAAGCCUGUAGUUGCCGUACGCAAACCGACACAGGUAGGCGAGAGAGAAUUCAGAGCGCGCGGAAGAACUCUCGUUAAGGAACUCAGCAAGGCGGCCAACUUAAGGAAGGGGGUGCCCCGGUAGAGUGAACCAGCUCGAGGGCGCAUUGAAUAUAGGCCCGGCGACUGUUGCCGAAACACAGAUUUUAUGCGAAGCCGCAAGGCGUAUAUGGGCUGACGCCUGCCUUGGUGGGCUGGAAGGUGAAGAGGGAGUGGUUAGGGGCUUAAGGCCCGAAGCUAUGAACCGAAGCCCCGGUAACUGGCGGCCGUAGCUUAUGGCGGUCUAAAGGUAACGAAAUUCCUUGUCAGGUAAAUUCUGACCCGAAUGGCGUAACGACUUGGGCGCUGUCUCAACGAGAGAUCCGGUGAAAUUUUAAUACCUGUGAAGAUGCAGGUUACCCGCGACGACAAGACGGAAAGAUAUUGCGCGGAGCUUUACUGCAACUGAUAUUGGACAGGCGCGAUCUGUACAGGAUAGGUGAACUGAAGCGGAGCGCCAGCUUCGGUGGAGGCAACGUUGGGAUACCACUCUGAUCGUAUCAGGUUUCUAACCAGGACAAAAUGGCAGUUCGAGGACGAUGUCAGGUGGGCGGUUUGACUGGUCUUAUCUAAAAGGUAACGGAGGCGCCCCAAGGGUUCCCUCAGAAUGGUUGGAAAUCAUUCGAAGGUACGAGCUGAAGGAGCUUGACUGCGAGACCUACAAGUCGAGCAGGGGCGAGUGGAGAAACCAGUGAUCGGUGGUGUACCGCAUGGAAGGGCCGCCAGCUCAACUGGAUAAAAGCUACCCUGGGGAUAACAGGCUUAUCUCCCCGAGUCCCACAUCGACGGGGAGGUUUGGCACACCUCGAUGUCGGCUCAUCGCAUCUAUGGGGCUGAAGAAGUAGGUCCCAAGGGUUGGGCUGUUCGCCCAUUAGAAGCGGUACGCGAGCUGGAGUUCAGAACGUCGUGAGACAGUUCGGUCCCUAUCUGUCGUGGGCGCAGGAAAUUUGAGAGGAGCUGUCCUUAGUACGAGAGGACCGGGAUGGACGUACCGCUGGUGUACCAGUUGUUCCGCCAGGAGCACAGCUGGGUAGCUAUGUACGGAAGGGAUAGCUGACAUCUAGCGUGAAGCCCGCCUCAAGAUGAGAUUUCCCAGUAGUAAGACCCCUUGAAGACGACGAGGUGAUGGGCUAAGGUUUGGGGGUGGAAGCGCAGCAAUGCUGGAGCUGACCAAUACUAAUCGAUUGAGGCUUAUCUAA